CCAUGUCGCUGAUCCACGACGACUUGCCAUGUAUGGACAACGACGACCUCCGCCGCGGAAAACCCACCAACCAUAAGGUGUUCGGCGAGGACGUCGCGGUCCUGGCCGGCGACGCUCUCUUGGCCUUCGCAUUCGAGCACAUCUCCCUGUCUACCGUCGGCGUGUCGCCGGCCCGAAUCGUCAGGGCAGUCGGGGAAUUGGCCAAGUCAAUUGGGUCCGAAGGACUCGUGGCCGGGCAAGUGGUGGAUAUAGACUCAGAGGGGUUGUCCGAUGUGGGACUCGAACAGCUGGAAUACAUCCACCUCCACAAGACGGCGGC
rnacentral:lncRNA from 1 species